CUUACUUCAUAAUUAUGAUAUGGUUAUAUUAUGAGGUAAAUUUGAAAAUAAUUACAAAAUAAACAGAAAAUACAAACAGAGGAACAUAAAAUAUAGUAACAUUAAAAAAAUAAAAUAAUUCAAUUAACAAGUUUUCGUAACAAUAUAAUGUCACCGUCAGUCAAAUGAUGAUUAUUAUGUAGAAGUGGAAAGGGUGGUAUUGUUUUCAUUAAUUAUAUAUCUAUCUUUCAAAAUGUUUAAAUUCACCAGAAUACACAGAAAUAUAUAAAUAAAUUAAUCCUAUAUAAAAUUAAGGCGAACGGACCCAGUGCGAACGGCGUCAAGGGCGAACGGACGUAGGGCGAACGAAAACUAGGGCGAACGGCGUCAAGGGCGAACGCGUUUUAGGGCGAACGAACAGCCAUUCUACAUAGACACACAAGCGAACAAAUGCCACUUUAAGGCCCAGGCAUAUACUGCAUUACGUUGUGUUGCGUCUUAGAUAAAUAGUUGUGAUUCAAUUUCAUUUUUUUCAUCUAUAUCAUUUAUGAAUUCAAUGAACACACAUUAUUUUAACGUUCUAUGUGCAACUAUUUGUCGGGGCGCCCCUGUUUGUAACCCCCCCGCGCGCGCCGAAUGUAAACAGUAACGAACGGCAUUGUAGAAAAGAGAGAGCCGUAAUGCAGAAGAGAAGUUGUGUAUUCUUUCGACGUACAAAUGCAUUUUCAAUUUACUGUGAAACAUAUGAACAUGCACAGGGAACAAUACUACAUAUUUGUUUAAGGAGGAUAUUUUUCUCGUGUGAAUCGUUUACGAGGAAAUUCUGACAGCCACACUUCUGUCGACGAUCAGCCGUUGAUAAGCUACGAGUAAUAAAGGGGAAAAGAUGGACAUUAAAGUGUGUGAUUUAUGUGGAUGUUACUGAAGAAGCUCAAAACAGACUCUUGUUACCACAUGGCUUUUACCGGUACCUGUUGAUUCUUGUGGGUCAGCUCCUGAGAUUAACCUGUCACCUCUAUCCACAUGCAUAUUCCUUGUGUUCUACAGACUAUUUACCGGUAAUUCAAAUUAAAUCCGAUAAUGCAUAAACAAUAAUGGAACUUGAAGAAAGCAUCAUGCCAUGUUGUGGUUUGUGUUUGAUAAGAAAUUAUGAAAACAAAAUUAAGGCUGUUUAUAAAGAAAUUCAUAAUUGCUGUGAAAAUUUGUUUUUCAAUAAAAGUAUGCAAUUAUG